rnacentral:pre_miRNA from 1 species
UUUCUACUCCCUCCGUCCAAAAAUACUUGUCAUCAAAAUGGAUAAAAAGAGAUGUAUCUAAAACUAAAAUACGUCUAUAUACAUUUCCUUUUAUCCAUUUUAAUGACAAGUAUUUACGGACGGAGGGAGUAUUUG